UCCGGUUUGUCACCGGCAGUCUCGCAUGACCCGCUGGUAACAAAACAUGAGGGUUGCGCUCGUUGCGGGACUUAACCCAACAUUUCACAACACGAGCUGACGACAGCCAUGCACCACCUGUGCUACACCCUCGAAGGCGACUGCUUUUCGGCAGCUUGCAGUAGCAUGUCAAGCCCUGGUAAGGUUCUUCGCGUUGCAUCGAAUUAAGCCACAUGCUCCACCGCUUGUGCGGGCCCCCGCCAAUUCCUUUGAGUUUCAACCUUGCGGCCGUAGUCCCCAGGCGGUUCACUUAAUGCGUUAGCUGCGGCACCGAGGGAAACCCCCGACACCUAGUGAACAUAGUUUAGGGCCAAGACUAC
rnacentral:misc_RNA from 1 species